rnacentral:tRNA from 1 species
UCUGGGAUAGCUUAGUUGGUAGAGCGUGAGACUCUUUAUCUCAGGGUUGUGGGUUUGAGCCCCACUUUGGAU